GUGCUCACUUUGGCAGCACAUAUACUAAAACUGGAACAAUACAGAGAAGUAUAGCAUGGCUCUUGGGCAAGGGUGACACUCAAAUUCGUGAAGCGUUCCAUAUUUUU
rnacentral:snRNA from 1 species